GAGGUGGUGGCUCAGUGGUAGAGUGCUUGCUUAGCAUGUGUGAGGCACUGAAUUCAAUCCUUUGCACCACA
rnacentral:tRNA from 1 species